AGCUUCAGUAGCGUAUAUUAAAGUUGUUGCAGUUAAAAAGCUCGUAGUCGCAUUUCUGGCGAGAGGAUCCGGUCCGACCUUUUGGUGGGUUCUUGGGUCUCUUUCGCCAUCCUUGAGUGGUCCGUUCUGGCAUUAGGUUGUCGGAGCGUCAGCCGCUCAUCGUUUACUGUGAGAAAAUUAGAGUGUUCAAAGCAGGCUUAUGCCGUUGAAUAUAUUAGCAUGGAAUAAUAAGAUAGGACCGCGGUACUAUUUUGUUGGUUUGCGCACCGAGGUAAUGAUGAACAGGGACAGUUGGGGGUAUUUGUAUUUCGUUGUCAGAGGUGAAAUUCUUAGAUUUACGAAAGACAAACUACUGCGAAAGCAUUUACCAAGGAUGUUUUCA
rnacentral:rRNA from 1 species